UUGGAGGGCAAGUCUGGUGCCAGCAGCCGCGGUAAUUCCAGCUCCAAUAGCGUAUAUUAAAGUUGUUGCAGUUAAAAAGCUCGUAGUUGAAUUUCGGGAUCAAUAUAUCGGUCGUGCCAUUGGUACGUACUGGUAUCAUUGAUUUCUCCUUUCUGACGAACCAUGAUGUCAUUAACUUGGUGUUAUGGGGAGUUAGGACUGUUACUUUGAAAAAAUUAGAGUGUUUAAAGCAGGCAUUAGCUUGAAUACAUUAGCAUGGAAUAAUGAAAUAGGACGUUUGACCCUAUUUUGUUGGUUUCUAGGAUCGACGUAAUGAUUAAUAGGGAUAGUUGGGGGCAUUAGUAUUCAAUUGUCAGAGGUGAAAUUCUUGGAUUUAUUGAAGACUAACUACUGCGAAAGCAUUUGCCAAGGAUGUUUUCAUUAAUCAAGAACGAAAGUUAGGGGAUCGAAGACGAUCAGAUACCGUCGUAGUCUUAACCAUAAACUAUGCCGACUAGGGAUCGGAUGAUGUUAAUUUUAUAAUGACUCAUUCGGCGCCUUACGGGAAAC
rnacentral:rRNA from 1 species